AUUUGUUUUUUGAACUGUCUCAGGACGAACGCUGGCGGCGUGCCUAAUACAUGCAAGUAGAACGCUGAAGGAGGAGCUUGCUUCUCUGGAUGAGUUGCGAACGGGUGAGUAACGCGUAGGUAACCUGCCUGGUAGCGGGGGAUAACUAUUGGAAACGAUAGCUAAUACCGCAUAACAGUAGAUGUUGCAUGACAUUUGCUUAAAAGGUGCAAUUGCAUCACUACCAGAUGGACCUGCGUUGUAUUAGCUAGUUGGUGGGGUAACGGCUCACCAAGGCGACGAUACAUAGCCGACCUGAGAGGGUGAUCGGCCACACUGGGACUGAGACACGGCCCAGACUCCUACGGGAGGCAGCAGUAGGGAAUCUUCGGCAAUGGACGGAAGUCUGACCGAGCAACGCCGCGUGAGUGAAGAAGGUUUUCGGAUCGUAAAGCUCUGUUGUAAGAGAAGAACGAGUGUGAGAGUGGAAAGUUCACACUGUGACGGUAUCUACCAGAAAGGACGGCUAACUACUCAGAC
rnacentral:rRNA from 1 species